GAAAUACUCCUUCCGACCCACAUUACUUGUCCAAAUAUUACAUGUAUCUAUACGCUUUUUAAACAUAGAUACAUCCAUAUUUGGGCAAAUUUGAGACAAGUAAUAUGGGUCGGAGGGAGUAUUAU
rfam:Brachypodium distachyon strain Bd21 chromosome 4, whole genome shotgun sequence.